UACAGAGGUCUCAAGCGUUGUUCGGAUUCAUUGGGCGUAAAGGGUGCGUAGGUGGCUUGGUAAGUCGGAUGUGAAAUCCCGGGGCUCAACCCCGGAACUGCAUUCGAUACUGCCAGGCUGGAGUACUGGAGAGGAGAUUGGAAUUUACGGUGUAGCAGUGAAAUGCGUAGAUAUCGUAAGGAAGACCAGUGGCGAAGGCGGAUCUCUGGACAGUUACUGACACUGAGGCACAAAGGCCGGGGAGCAAACGGG
rnacentral:rRNA from 1 species